AGCGAACGCUGGCGGCAGGCCUAACACAUGCAAGUCGAACGAACCUUUCGGGGUUAGUGGCGGACGGGUGAGUAACACGUGGGAACGUGCCUUUAGGUUCGGAAUAACUCAGGGAAACUUGUGCUAAUACCGAAUGUGCCCUUCGGGGGAAAGAUUUAUCGCCUGUAGAGCGGCCCGCGUCUGAUUAGCUAGUUGGUUGAGGUAAUGGCUCACCAAGGCGACGAUCAGUAGCUGGUCUGAGAUGAUGAUCAGCCACAUUGGGACUGAGACACGGCCCAAACUCCUACGGGAGGCAGCAGUGGGGAAUCUUGCGCAAUGGGCGAAAGCCUGACGCAGCCAUGCCGCGUGAAUGAUGAAGGUCUUAGGAUUGUAAAAUUCUUUCACCGGGGACGAUAAUGACGGUACCCGGAGAAGAAGCCCCGGCUAACUUCGUG
rnacentral:rRNA from 1 species